UCAGUGGCAAAGCCCCAUUGCGUGUGAAGAAGGUGAUGUUUGAAUUCCUUGUACAGCUGCAGUUUGUGUGGUGAAGGUGCUCCCACAAUGUGGUUGGGGAUCUGCACUGGAACCCUUCUGUUUGCGGGACAAAUAUAUGUAAGUGACAUGGAUUAAAAUCUAAUUUGGUAAUGCUUUGGUAUUUUUUUCUGAAUUAUCAGCUUUGAUGGAGAUGUGUUGAAAAUGUUUGCAGUUACUGAUCUGCUGAACCAAA